CACUCAUUUCGCAAAAGUCUACUAUCUACACCCAGCAUUUCCCAGCAGUCAUGAUAGCGCAUUCAUCUAUCAGCUAAGAGAACUUACUACUGUUCAUUUCUUUACAUUUCUGCAUUGCAUAAGGCUACUUGUUGCCUUUCGAGACUAAGCUCUGUCUCCAUCUGCAUUUUGCAUAAGGCUACUCUCUGCCUUUCGAGGUUAAGCUCUACCUCCAUAUUGCAUAAGGCUAUCUAUCUGCCUUUCGAGACUAAGCUCUGUCUCCAUCUGCAUUUUGCAUAAGGCUACUCUCUACUUUCGAGGUUAAGCUCUACCUCCAUAUUGCAUAAGGCUAGCUAUCUGCCUUCCGAGACUAAGCUCUGUCUCCAUCCGCAUUUUGCAUAAGGCUACUCUCUGCCUUCCGAGGUUAAGCUCUACCUCCAUAUUGCAUA
rnacentral:lncRNA from 1 species